rnacentral:rRNA from 1 species
AUUGAACGCUGGCGGCAGGCCUAACACAUGCAAGUCGAGCGAGUGGCGGACGGGUGAGUAAUAUCUGGGAAACUGCCCGAUGGAGGGGGAUAACUACUGGAAACGGUGGCUAAUACCGCAUACUAUCGGAUGUACCCAGAUGGGAUUAGCUAGUAGGUGGGGUAACGGCUCACCUAGGCGACGAUCCCUGGCUGGUCUGAGAGGAUGACCAGCCACACUGGAAUUGAGACACGGCCCAGACUCCUACGGGAGGCAGCAGGGGGGAAUAUUGCACAAUGGGCGCAAGCCUGAUGCAGCCAUGCCGCGUGUAUGAAGAAGGCCUUCGGGUUGUAAAGUACUUUCAGCGGGGAGGCGUUACUCGCAGAAGAAGCACCGGCUAACUCCGUGCCAGCAGCCGCGGUAAUAC